CCUACGGUGUGCUGCAGUGGGGAAUAUUGGACAAUGGGCGAAAGCCUGAUCCAGCCAUGCCGCGUGUGUGAAGAAGGCCUUCGGGUUGUAAAGCACUUUCAGUGGGGAAGAAAGCCUUGGGGCUAAUACCCUCGAGGAAGGACAUCACCCACAGAAGAAGCACCGGCUAACUCCGUGCCACAGCCGCUGUAAUACGGAGGGUGCGAGCGUUAAUCGGAAUUACUGGGCGUAAAGCGCGCGUAGGCGGUCUGAUAAGCCGGUUGUUAAAGCCCCGGGCUCAACCUGGGAACGGCAUCCGGAACUGUCAGGCUAGAGUGCAGGAGAGGAAGGUAGAAUUCCCGGUGUAGCGGUGAAAUGCGUAGAGAUCGGGAGGAAUACCAGUGGCGAAGGCGGCCUUCUGGACUGACACUGACGCUGAGGUGCGAAAGCGUGGGUAGCAAACAGGAUUAGAUACCCCAGUAGUC
rnacentral:rRNA from 1 species